UGAAGACCCCUCCUAUGUGUGACGGCCACGUGAGCCGACCUCUCUCCCCUCGCAGGCCGCGUCCGCACUGGCUCGGGUGCCGGGGCUGGUGGCAGUGUGGCCGGCGGUCCCUGCGUCCCCGGCUGACGGCGCUGCGCGGCCUCCUCCCGCUGGUGAGGAGAGACGUGGGCGACCAGGUGGCCGCGAAGGCGCAGGCACUUUCUUCUGUGGCCUGUGAGUAACACAGCGGCUCUUCCUGCCUGCGGGGAACUUGCAGCCCUGGGUCACCUCCGCUGUCCAGCCAGAUAAAAAUGUUUCCUGGGGCAGUUGCAACCCACACAUGGCAGUACGAGUUGGUGUGGGAGAAGGAAACCAUGACUGUGUCUGACCCGGAUGGGGCCAUCCUGGGCCAUGAGGAGGUGGACCUAGGAAUGACAGACUGGGGAGCCCAAGAGGCCUGGGACCUUGAGGACUCUGCACAGCUGCCACACCAGCCCUAGACUGCCUAACUGGACCUUCACAUGAGACAGAAAUAAUCUCAUGUUUUGUGGCCUGCCACUCCUGAUGCUCUCGGCUUUCCUCCGCUCAGUUGCCCAAGCAUCAUUCGUCAGGGAUCAUCUCCCGCUCUUCCCAGAGCUACCAGAUGUCCACUAACCAAAAAGCAGAAAUAAUCCAGCUUUUCUUCAGUCUCCUUAUAAUGAAAACAUGGUGUAGUACCAAAGGGUUCAAGGUGCCACCUUCUUAAACGGCAUGAUCAUGAUAUAGACAGUUUUUAGAUAUCUACAUAAAUAUGACUAAAUAAAAAACUGCUAUGAGGAAAACAAGUAUAAUGCUAUGAAGUCAAUACUCCAAAAUAAAGUUUCCAUAGCCAAUCAA